UACGUAGGAUCCAAGCGUUAUCCGGAAUUACUGGGCGUAAAGCGUACGUAGGUGGAGAUUUAAGUGAGAUGCGAAAUCUGGCGGCUCAACCGUCUAGACUGUGUCUCAUACUGGGUUUCUUGAGGUUGGCAGAGGCAAGUGGAAUUCCGGUGUAGCAGUGAAGUGCGUAGAGAUCGGAAGGAACACCAAUGGCGAAGGCAGCUUGCUGGGCCACACCUGACACUGAGGUACGAAAGCGUGGGAGCGAACAGG
rnacentral:rRNA from 1 species